UACGGGGGGUGCGAGCGUUGUCCGGAAUCACUGGGCGUAAAGGGCGCGUAGGUGGCUUUGUAAGUUUGCGGUGAAAGCCCGGAGCUCAACUCCGGGUCUGCCGCGGAUACUGCGAGGCUUGAGUGCUGUAGAGGGGGGUAGAAUGCCGGGUGUAGCGGUGGAAUGCGUAGAGAUCCGGCAGAAGACCGGUGGCGAAGGCGGCCCCCUGGGCAGUAACUGACACUGAGGCGCGACAGCGUGGGGAGCAAACAGG
rnacentral:rRNA from 1 species